CCUCCCCGCCCGGCCACGGCCUUUGUUGUGCGCCAGGAGCUGCCGGGGUGAAUGAAUGGAGGCACCGGGGUCGGGGUGAAUGCAAGCGGGGGGGUGUGACUACAAGUGUGUGCGUGAAUGCAAGCAGGAGUGGGGUAGGGUGUGAAUACAAGCGGAGUAGGGUGCGUGUGCAUGCAAGAGCAGAGAGGGGGUGCAUGUGAAUGCAGGCACUGCGGGGUAUCUUUGUGGAUCUAUGAAGAAAGGAGGGGGGAAGGAAAAUGUGAGAGACUUGAGUGUGUAAUGUAGGCAUGGGGGGGGAAUGCAGCACUUGUUCCUGGGAACCAGAGUCUGCUGCGCAACAGGGACUGAAAGAUGUUUGAGAGAGAGAGAGAGAGAGAGUGUGUGUGUGUGUGUGUGUGUGUGUGUGUGUGUGUGUGUGUGUCACAUCCCCACCACGUGGCCUGUGGAGGUGCAUCACGGCCUGCGGAGGUGCAUUGGGAGUGCUGUGCUCCUGCCUCCUUGUGCAGCCAAAGCCCUGGAAUGGGAUUCAGGGAGACGUGGGAUCAUUUUUGUGGCUCUGGCAGGCAGGCUGUCCCGAUGGCUUUGGUCAUGGGCUUGGAUUCCACUCAAUCCUGGCUGCGAGGACUGCAGCAUCUCAAGCCGUGCUGAAGACGGGGACAGGCACUCAACCCAAUGUCUCGGGCUGUGACCUAAUUAGCUAAGCAGUGUUGAGCAUUAAGCAAUAUUGAAUAUGGGAGAAGUUAAAACAAAAAAAAAGCAGCAGUAGCAGUAGCUGGCUGAUAUGGUGCUGGAGGCUCAUUAGGUGGCACUCUUUCUACCCAGCUGAUACCACCACAUCCAUGUCCCCCAAAGGGUGACGUGGAUUAGGGUGCAGUUGGAAGCACUGGAUUUUCUUUUCCCCCCCCAAAAGGGUGCCCCGUUUGGAACGCGAGAAUUCAGAACAGCAGGAGCGCGACGCUCCCACCAGGACAAAGGGCAGAAGGCAGAGUACAUGUGCACCUUAUGCACCAGCGCUCUUCAACCUUUUGGCCCCAUGGGCCAAGACGAGAGGUGCAGGGCCCAUCUGCAGGCUGGAUCCGACCUAGAGUGGCCACUGACGCAUCCCAGGAAUACAGGACAGCCCCUUGGCCCCCUUAGCCAAUCAGUGGUGAGGGAUGGGGCCGCCACUUCCUCAGCGAGGGGUGGGGCCAUUGAGCCCUGUGGCCAAUCAGCAGCAAGGGGCGGAGCCACUACCUUCCUCCCUCCUUCCAUACCUCCCUAGAUGGAUCUCCUGGCUGUGCACCUCCCUUUAGCACAGCCAACAGAAUCACAAGGACAAAUGAUUGACAUAUAUUUCCACCAAUGAACUGAAAAACAGGACUUUCUGCUGUCCUUCCUCAUUCAGAAAUGGACAGGGGACAAAGCAUUGAAAGUAUAAAUGACCACCCUAAUCAGACCCUGCAUGCCAGGAUCAGGCUUGCAUGCUCAGAUCAGGCCUUGUGCCACUCCUGCCUGGCUCCAGCAUCAGGCCCUGGGGCCCUGCACCAUCGUCCUGGGUCAGGAUUGGACCCCAUGCCCCCCUGUGUGCCCAAUCUAGCAUGCCACAGACCCAUGGGGAGCCCUGCAGGCUGAAUCUGGCCUGCAAGCUGGGGGAGUUCAACACGCAUAUUGUAGACUAACUGAUCAGAGAUAAAUAAGCUUUCAUGAGUCACAGCUCACUUCAACAGACGCUAGGAAAGGGCAUGCAGGAAACUGGCUAUCAAAGAGGAAUGAUCUAAACACAAAAGACAGGGAAGGGGGUGGGCAAAGGGAGAGGGCAGUGCUGAGACGGGCAGAAGGGGCUGGAAAGAACGCAGAGCAAUAAACCCACAGGGACAUAAAAGCUAAUCCAGGCAAUGGGAUAAGAAUCUGUAGUCCCUGUUUAUUGUAUACUUCACGCAAUCCAGGCUGUGGAUGAUUUCUUGUUCCACAAUUAAAAGUUUAAGAACAGCUAUUCUGAGGCCUGUGACAGAAUGUCCAGGGAAACUAAAGUGUUUUGCCCUAAAUUUGCGUGCGUUUCUGGACUUGAUGUCAGCUUGGUGCCCUUUGUGCCUGUCUGUCCAUCCAAUGUAGAGCGCAGAAAGGCACUGAGCAGGUGAUAGCAUAUAUCACAUUGGUAAAGGGCCAGUGAACGAACCUCAGAUGCUAGAAUCCGAUGGUCUAAACAUCUCUCUAAAUACAAAUGAUGUCAAACAAAACAAAAUGCUAUAAAAUGCAAUGUACUCUCACAAACCGGCCUGUCAGUAUCUCAGAUCGAGUAGGCCUGAAGCCUUAGUUCACAAUUUUGACAAUUUCACCUUUAUCAUUUAGCAUCUCAGCCCCCCUCCUCCAAUCGGUAGAACAGAGGUGAUAGCAGUUCCCCUCGCAAGGAUUUUUGGGAAAGCACAUUUGUUCAUGUACAUGGAGUACUCAGAUACUAUAUGGAAAGCACCAAGAAAAAAUAGCAAUUCUGUAAUCAGUGCAUGUUUGGACAGUGUGCACUCGACAUGAUAAGAGGUCAAACAUUGAAUGAAAAAUUUUAAGACAAAUAAGGAACAAUUGUCCAUUCAGUGAGUGCAAUCCAUCCUAUGCACUGAAUAAAGUUGGGUCCUUUGGAUAAAAUAAUAUACAAGCAGACAUUCAAACUUACUGCACAAGGAAAGUGAAUUCAUGUUGCAUGCACAACCAUAACCUGGCUUUUCCAAAUGUCUGCCUUGCCACUUACAGGCAUGGGUAUAUACAUAAUUUACUGAGGGAUAAAAAAAGGUGGGGCUUAACUGGGCAUCAGCUAGUCCAAAGUGCAUACUCCUACUACAUGGUAAGUGAAAGCUGAACUGUGGUAAUUUACCCCUUUUUCACUAAGAGCUAAGCUACAGGAGUUUAACUUCCACUUCCACAGGUAAAAGCAUGUACCAUACAGUAGCUAAUACAGGUUAGGUCAGGGGUCCUUUGGCCCUAUGGUAAGUUGGUUGCAUGUCCAUAGCCUUAAUGGUAGUGUAGAGCUAGAUACAGACACUCAAA